UAGGGGGAUAAAAUGGAACAAAAACCAAUAAGGCAAAUCUUAAGAAUAUGGCCAGAAGACCAUCCUCGUAGAGUUAUUCUGAAAAAUGGAGCUAAACACCAUGUUGUCUGACUCAUAGAAGGAUUAGAUUUCAAGGGGAAAUGGAUUUGGGUCCAUUUCCUUGAGAAGAGUUGCUAUGAGACUGACAGCCAGCAUUCUCUUCACUGAGUGUUUGAGGGAUAAAUGCAUGGAGCAAUUUAGCAGCAUUUCAGAAAUGUAAAGUUCUCAGAAGCCACAUUCCAAGUGAAGCAGAUCUUGCUGAAGAAGUUGGGAUGUGUGAGUCUAAAAAGAACAUUUUGAGCCCUCUGCUUCUCUUAGCUUAAAUCCAUAUAUGGCUUUGUUGCUGUUGCUGCUUUCAUUUUAAACAUAACCAAACAACACUGGUGCCCAGGAAAUGGACUUCCAAUGAGAGGAGGGAAAAGCCAAAAAGAUUCUUUCAGCAUAAAGAAGACCAGGCUUGUUGAAAUCAAAGAAAGGGCUCUGCCAUCCCUUCAAUGGCCAAGACCACAGAUCUUGAAAUCUUCUUCAUCUCAGUGCUCCAUGCUAUACCCACACUGGAGUGACGAGGGUUUGCUCAGGCUCUGCUCUCCUCAGAGGCUGAGGUGGAUUCAGCCGUGGCCUCAACUGCUUGUCCUGACCAAACCCAGAGGAUGUAGGAAAAGCCCUUCUCCACUCAGGAGUAUGGAUAUCAUGCAGACCCCUGGAGACACGGUGGUACUCAAUAAGUAUCUAUGAGUUGACUUACACUGAAUCCGAACUAACACAGACUUGAAGAAGACAUCCGGAUGGCCAACAGGCACAUGAAAAGAUGUUCAGCGUUGCUCCUUAUCAGGGAAAUACAAAUCAAAACCACACUCAGAUAUCACCUCACGCCAGUCAGA